UGGACGUUACUCGCAGAAUAAGCACCGGCUAACUCUGUGCCAGCAGCCGCGGUAAUACAGAGGGUGCAAGCGUUAAUCGGAUUUACUGGGCGUAAAGCGCGCGUAGGUGGCCAAUUAAGUCAAAUGUGAAAUCCCCGAGCUUAACUUGGGAAUUGCAUUCGAUACUGGUUGGCUAGAGUAUGGGAGAGGAUGGUAGAAUUCCAGGUGUAGCGGUGAAAUGCGUAGAGAUCUGGAGGAAUACCGAUGGCGAAGGCAGCCAUCUGGCCUAAUACUGACACUGAGGUGCGAAAGCAUGGGGAGCAAACAGGAUNAGAUACCCUGGUAGUCCAUGCCGUAAACGAUGUCUACUAGCCGUUGGGGCCUUUGAGGCUNNAGUGGCGCAGCUANCGCGAUANGUAGACCGCCUGGGNAGUACNGUCGCAAGACU
rnacentral:rRNA from 1 species